rnacentral:rRNA from 1 species
UACAGAGGUCUCAAGCGUUGUUCGGAUUCAUUGGGCGUAAAGGGUGCGUAGGCGGCGCGGUAAGUCGGAUGUGAAAUCUCGGAGCUUAACUUCGAAACUGCAUUCGAUACUGCCGUGCUUGAGGACUGGAGAGGAGACUGGAAUUUACGGUGUAGCGGUGAAAUGCGUAGAUAUCGUAAGGAAGACCAGUGGCGAAGGCGGGUCUCUGGACAGUUCCUGACGCUGAGGCACGAAGGCCCAGGGGGAGCAAAACGGGG